rnacentral:rRNA from 1 species
UGGGGAAUUUUGGACAAUGGGGGAAACCCUGAUCCAGCCAUCCCGCGUGUGCGAUGAAGGCCUUCGGGUUGUAAAGCACUUUUGGCAGGAAAGAAACGUCGCGGGUUAAUACCCCGCGAAACUGACGGUACCUGCAGAAUAAGCACCGGCUAACUACGUGCCAGCAGCCGCGGUAAUACGUAGGGUGCAAGCGUUAAUCGGAAUUACUGGGCGUAAAGCGUGCGCAGGCGGUUCGGAAAGAAAGAUGUGAAAUCCCAGAGCUUAACUUUGGAACUGCAUUUUUAACUACCGGGCUAGAGUGUGUCAGAGGGAGGUGGAAUUCCGCGUGUAGCAGUGAAAUGCGUAGAUAUGCGGAGGAACACCGAUGGCGAAGGCAGCCUCCUGGGAUAACACUGACGCUCAUGCACGAAAGCGUGGGGAGCAAACAGGAUUAGAUACCCUGGUAGUCCACGCCCUAAACGAUGUCAACUAGCUGUUGGGGCCUUCGGGCCUUGGUAGCGCAGCUAACGCGUGAAGUUGACCGCCUGGGGAGUACGGUCGGCAAGAUUAAAACUCAAAGGAAUU